AGAAUCAACGCUGGCGGCGUGCCUAACACAUGCAAGUCGCACGAGAAAGUGGAGCAAUCCAUGAGUAAAGUGGCGACCGGGUGAGUAACACGUGACUAACCUACCCUCGAGUGGGGAAUAACUCCGGGAAACCGGGGCUAAUACCGCAUAACAUCUUCGGAACGCGAGUUCUGUUGAUCAAAGGAGCAAUUCGCUUGAGGAGGGAGUCGCGGCUGAUUAGCUAGUUGGCGGGGUAAUGGCCCACCAAGGCUUAGAUCGGUA
rnacentral:rRNA from 1 species